rnacentral:misc_RNA from 1 species
GGGGAAAACCCGAAAGGGCGCUUCUGGUUAAAUGGACGGAAAGAAAGUGAAAACCCGCGAGGGCGCUUUCCAUAGAAUAAGAAGAAAAUCGGGAACAGAAGAGGGGCAUUUGAAGAAAAUGGGGUUAUAGGUCAAGUCUUGCAACUUCUUUUCCGUUAAUCAUCGGCCUUCGGUAUCUUGUUAAGUACACUUCGUCAGGGAAAGAACUUCAUGUGUCAAGGUUAGACUUGCCUUGUAAGUUGAUUUUAAUUUCUUGCAAUUUACAUUUUCUGUUAUCAACCUCUGGUUCCUUGAU